rnacentral:lncRNA from 1 species
UGCUGAGCCACAACCCCAACCCCUUGAGUUAAUUUUUUAAAAUAUUUAUUUAGUUGUAGAUGAACACACAGUAUCUUUAUUUUUUUUGUGUGUGUGGUGUGUUAGAGUCUGUAAACAAGUCUGGAUGGCGCCUGGCAUUUGCCAGAGGGAGUGGUUUGAGAAGUAACAAAAGGGAGCCAUUAAGUGUGGAGAUUCCUUAUUGGUUGACUGAUUUAUCUGGUUUAUGCUAAUUAGAUAAGCUGUGUGGAAUGUAUAAAUACUGCUCCUGUCCUACAAUAAACGGCUUCCACUCCUGCUGUAUCAAUCUACACAAGUUAUUCGUCACCCCCCAGUUAUUUUGCUGCAGCUGGACUGCGGCAGAUGGUGGCCUGUUACGGGGAGCCCCGGGACCCUCGGGGGUAAGUGACAAAAAAAAAAAAAGCUGCCCGUCCAUAGAUAGGACGGGAGCAAAUCUGCUCGUCCCUAGGCAGAUAGGGCGAGAGGAAAAAUGGCCAUUUUGAGAAAAUGGAGAAGAUUGAUACAGUAUGUUUGUGUCUUGUUUUGUCUUGAAAUGUUGUAUUGUCUUUGUGACGAAAAUAUGGAAGGGGUGAGAAGUAAAUCACUAAGGGAAGAAGGCACCCCAGUGGAACCAAGAAUAGUUAGGGCAUGUGUUGAUAAGAGCCCAGGAGCUCUAGUCAGAAAGAAAAAGAAAGUUCAGAAGAAGAAGGAUUAUCAGGAAAAAAGUUGCAGCAAAAGGCUAUUACUGAAUACUUUUCGUUACCGGAGGGUGUGUGAAGCGGAGAGGCGGCUGCCGAGUGUGCAAGCCGGUCACAGCGCAGCAGGGAUUUUCCAAGAGGCGGCAGUGACUGGCCCUUCCCCGCCUCCUGGCCGGGGAGCUGGCUCUUCCACUGCCCCGAGCCCAAAUCUAGACCUGACCUGGAGGCACAGUCUCGCAGGCUCUUGCUCCCUGUGACCAGUAGCAGUUUGAGUCCGGGACACUCCCCAGGGCCAUCUGGGGCUGCCCAGGCGCUACAGCCAGCAGAAGACACUACCGGCGUCCCUGAUGUUUGGUCAUUUUCAAUGCCAAUAACUAAGCUACAAUGGUUCUCCC